CCCUUAGAUGUUCUGGGCCGCACGCGCGCUACACUGAUACGUUCAGCGAGUUUUUUUUCUUCUUGGCCGAGAGGUCUGGAUAAUCUUUUGAAAUCGUAUCGUGCUGGGGCUUGCGGCUUGCAAUUAGCCGCACCAACGAGGAAUUCCUAGUAAGCGCGAGUCAUCAACUCGCAUUGAUUACGUCCCUGCCCUUUGUACACACCGCCCGUCGCUCCUACCGAUUGAAUGUUCCGGUGAAAAAUCGGGAGGGUUCUGCUUUGACGUUCGCGCGUUGAAAUAGGACCUGAACUUUUUUAAAUCUUAGCAUUUAGAGGAAGGAGAAGUCGUAACA
rnacentral:rRNA from 1 species